GCCAUGUUAACUCCUUCUCAUCCACCUGACACUUGUCUCACUAGAUUGUAUGAUGUUUGUACAUAGGAUAAUCCAUGAACCAGUGUGUCUACAAACACUGGUGCCUGCAUGUCCUCGCAGGGCCAUAGCUGGACCUUGGCACCUAUGCUGCCAUGUUUCAUGUACCAUAAUCCUCUGCCCAGGACUAGGCUAAGAAUAUGUGAAUAAGCCAUAGACAAUGACCUUCAGGAGAAAUUCAAGGACUCCAGCUGCCUGAGCCCUCUGCCCUGCAGACAUGCCCUAUGGUACACCAGCCAAUCCAAGCAGAUGCUCCCAGGAGCCAUCGUGUAGAGAUGUACUGAUUUGGAAGAGCUUCCGAUGGCCCUGGGUGAUGAAGAACGUGCUGUACUUCUCCUUGGUGCUCAAGCGGCAGCUGCCAGGAUGUUUUCAGUAAACCUCACCAUCGUUACAAUUAACCCCAUCAACAAGACAAUCUGAGUGUGUCCUCUGUUCUCUGCAGCAAGAAUGAGCCUAAGAACUAAGACCAGUAAAAUUGGUGGCAUAGAUUCCCACACCACUGCAAACUUACUGAGUCUCAGCUGAUCCUCUGCUUCCUCCUGUGCUGUGCCAGAUGGCAGCUCGUAAGAUCCAGAAGAAUAUGACCAGGUCCCUGGGGUCAGCUGUGGUAGGAUAUGGCUGACAUACCUAGGAAGUUACCCUGGCUUCUUCCGUUUCCACUCCGCCCAUGUUCAGACUACCAGGAAAGCCCUGAUGGCCUUACUUCCAAAGUAUCCUCAAACCGACAGCUCUUUCCAUGUCCACUGCCGAAGGCCUAUCACACAAUCACCAUCUUGCCUGGACUAUUCCAGUAGCAUAAAUGUUCUCCUUUUUUCUACUCUUGCUCCUCUGAAAUCCAUCCCCACGUGGCAGAUCAUGUCGCUCACAUACUUAGAAACUUCCAGGGGCUUCCCAAUACCAACUCUUUAGCCCAGCCUACAAGAACCUCAGGAUCUCACCCUUGCCCAUCUCUUCGACCUCUUCAUUCAGGCCUUCCUUCAAAUGUCCCCUCCUCUGAGGAGCCUGCCCUGACCACUCUAGCUAAAGCAGCCCCUCAGUCACUUAGUCACACUUUGCCUUUCCAUCUUCCUCAAAGCACCUGUCAGCAGCUGACAAGCCGGAUUCACUUUUUCUGUGUUUAGUGCCUGUCUCCCAUUCUACAAUAUAAGAAUUACAGAGAGGCAUGCUGGUUUUCUUACUGCUGAGUCACCGGCCCUGGAACAGGGCCUGAUGCCUCAGAAGGUACUCAGUGAGGGUUUGUUACCUGCCUUACUGGUAUUGACCAAACAUCCCACCACCUCUGGGGGUUAUAAGUGGCCUUUCUCACUCUGUCUUAUUCACUUCUUUGGGUCAUGACAGCUUCCACUCAGGGGUGGCUCCAUUGGCUCUGAAGCACCCAAAUCAAGCCUUAAUGCCUAUGGUACAGAUUGCUGCAGAACAAAAUGAUCAGGUUUUGCAUCCAGGGCAUGAAAGGCAUCAGGAUUCUGCUCCUUUGACACAGAUGGCCCCAUGAAUUCCUUGCUUUCUUUGUUUCAGGAUUUAUAUACAUUAAAAAAAAUAAUUUUUAUUGGCAUAUAAUUGAUUUACAAUAUUGUGUUAGUUUCAGAUGUACAACAAAGUGAAUCAUUUAUACAUAUACAUAUACCCACUCUUUUUUUAGAUUCUUUUCCCAUGUAUGUCAUCACAGAGUAUUGAGUAGACAUAUUUUUAAGUAAACUUGUUGAGAUCAUCGUAGAUUCACAGGGAGCUUAAAGAAAUAACACGAAGAG
ensembl:lncRNA